rnacentral:lncRNA from 1 species
UGUCAUCAUUUAUCACAGUGGUUGUGACAGAGGGACUUGUGGACGGACUUUCUGUGGCUGGGAUAGCAUCACUUGGGUUCACAUCACAGAACACAACUGGCUUGAGCUCAUAGGUACAGGACCCUACUGUGCCCAAUAUAUGGUGAUACCUGAUGAGCCGUUGAAUCAUGUCACUGAGUCGUGUGAAUGUUAUCAUGACAGCGGUUCCAGGAGUAGGUGUGGCCUUAAGCAGAGGCAAACCAUUAGCUGUCCGAGCAUGUGGGUCAAAGAAACCGUACCUGCCAUCUCUGGUUCUGAAAACUGCAAUGCACAGCGAAGUCAUUAGCAGCAAAGCAUACUGCACAUCUGUUAAUAAGCAGCUCAGUCCCAUCUCGAGGUCCAGAAAGGUAUCAACAGCUCCGGGAUCCGGAUCUCCAAACGUACCGUAUCUAGACAGCUGUAACAUGUCAACAGUCUGCAUGUGUCUGCGUGCAGGAACCUGGUUAGGGAGCUCAUCGGUUGUCAGAUGGGCGUGAUCAACAGUUUUUCUGAUUUCUCUGUACAUCACAUCACCUUUAUCCAAAACACGGUCCAGGUCUGCUCUGGUGAUGUGUUCGUUCUCAUACAGGAAUGCUAGAAAUGUCAGUGAGUUACAGGUGCACUGCUGGUUCCUGGAUUGGCCGUAUUUCAGAGACGCUUGGCUGCGUGACGCACAGACGUUUUUUUCACCUGACUGAUUAACAGAGUUAACAUUUCUUACCCGAGAAGAGCCUGAUACAGACUGAUAAUUACUGUGGUUUCCCUUCUUAACAGUGUCUGGAUAUGAUACCUGGGUUGAACAUGGCUUGUCAGUUUGGGCUACGUAGUUUAUCUGACCAGAGUUGGAUGGACCGGCAGUACGUGACACACUAGCAAGUUUUCUCUUUACCAUGUCUGCAUAUGUUACCUGUUGUACACCUGGAUCAUUGGUUUCACCUCUGCGGUUUACCUGUUUAGUGUUAGACGGACCUGCUGCAGGUGACUCACUUACACAUCUCCUCUUUGGCAUGUCUGUAUAAGAUACCUGUGGUUGACAUGACGCACUUUCACCUCUCUGUUUCUCAGCAUCACAUACUUCAGACUUCUUUACCUCUCCAAUGCUCUGAGGAACACCAUCUGCUUUUACACGGUCAAUGUCAUGUAACCUCUGCCAGCGCUGGCUUGCAACCUGUGACUUCUUACUCUUCCUCGGCAUUUUAGCUGUUCUUUCACAACAAUGUGUUUAUACAACAAUUUAAAGUUAAUGAUAAGCAGCAGUAUAGGCAAAAGCGCUUUAUUUCUUCAAGAGAGAUCGUUAUUCAACAGCUCUUAUAGUCUCCAAAACAUGUAAUUUAUAACUGUGUGUAUACCAACAAUAGUUUAUCAAAUGUUUUCUAAGGAAAUCCUAGGCAAGACUAAAUAAAUGUUUUAAGAAAAAACACAAAUCAACAACAAUUUUUAAAUCUUUGAACCUUCUGCUUGAAAUAAUAUGCAAGUCAAAUAUUCUAUAUGAAACGUGUUUAUUUUUUCUUUCAAAAUCAGGGACGCAGAUAUGGUGGUGCUGAUGACACUUCUUCUGGUGAAACUCUGGAUCCACAGACAGGAAAAGAAAACCUGGAACAACAAUGAGACUUUUGCAAAAUUAGGGCUUUUUCCAAUACAGUGGUUGGAUUAAAUGUACAGCUUUUCAGAAGUUCGGUUUCUCAAAAAAAGGGUUGAUUGUUUACAAAGGUUUCUCAAAAAAGGUGGCUUGUUAAAAUAGGUCUCAAAAAGAUUUAUUGCAAAGGGGUCUCAAAUGAUUUGUUGCAAAGGGGUCUCAAAUGAUUUGUUGCAAAGGGGUCUCAAAUGAUUUGUUGCAAAAGGUCUCAAAGAUUUAUUGCAAAGGGUCUCAAAGAUUUGUUUCAAUAGGUCUCAAAGAUUUGUUUCAAUAGGUCUCAAAGAUUUGUUUCAAUAGGUCUCAAAGAUUUGUUUCAAUAGGUCUCAAAGAUUUGUUUCAAUAGUUCUCAAAGAUUUGUUUCAAUGGUAUCAAAGAUUUGUUCAAGGAUUGUAUUAGUAGCCAGAGUGGGAUAGAAGGGGGAUAGAAAGGCAGAGUGGCUUUUCAAUCAGAAAGAGUGGUAGAGGAGACAGGAAAGUCAGAGGGACCAAAAUGAUAGGGGAGAGUGGGGAGACUGGACAGGAUACCUGUAAGACACAAUGGAAAAAAACAUUAAUCUUUUUUUAUUAAAGAAAUAAAAUUAAAUGAUCCAACAUCCACCCAAAGCUAAUGAGAUUAUAAUGUACUUUUACUCAAUCCACCAAGUGGCUGUCCUCAACUAUACAUCUAUCAAAAGUCAAGUUGAGUCAAAAGCUGGAAGUGACCAUUGUCUUGUUCGAUAACCCUUCAAUCAAAUUAAUGACUAAAAAUACAGUGUUCAUAAGAGAUAAUUGAAAAUGAAGAACAUUAUUUAUCCCCUAAGGGUAAUUCAAUUGUCUGUAGUCUCACUUGUCAUGUCUCAAAAAGUCAUCUACUAUUUAAAUUGUAGAGUCUGAUGGCUGUGGGUACAAAAGAUCUUAUGAGUCUUUCUGUCCUGCAGCAGAGAGAGGAGCCGUCCACCACCAUAGGCCUUUCGGUCCACCAAGGUGUUGUGAAGUGGGUGAGCCAUAUUCUUUAGAAUAGCCUCCACCUUCCUCACAGUACAUCUCUCCACCACAUCCUCCAACGAGUCCAACUUGAAUCCAACCACAGAACCAGCCUUUUUUAAAUUUAGGACCUCAAAGUAUUUUACAAAAGUUUCUAUUAUCCCUGCGCAUUUUAGACUCUUUAUUUUAAGUUCCCUCUAUAAUGUUUAUAACCAUGUCCUGGUAAGCAGUAAUAACAAUGGAUUACUCUGCUGAUAAAAUAUGAUGUGUUUUGGAAAAUGUUAUUUCCUUUACCGUGUUUUAAGUAUUCCUACAAUGUAAUAAGUUAUAAUGAGGCCAAGCAGCUCCGUAAGCUGUAAACAGAAGCAUGCAAAGUACCUUAGAAGGAUAUACACAUUUCUAAACGGAGGAUUAAAUGAAUAAUAAAAUAAAUCAAUGGCGGCAUAGAUAAUGAUUGUCUAUUCCAUAUUAAGGAACAUUAAAUUUGAUUUUUUUUCUAAUAUAAGAGCUGCACAAAAGGAGGUAAUCACACUCAAUUAGUAAUUCUUUGGAUUUUCAUGAUUAAAAAAUUACAACUCCACAAUUUAAUAGUAACAAAUUGCUUUCCAAUGAUUGGAAAUAAAAUGCAAAUAAGUGUAUUGCAUAUCACAUUUAACCUGUUCAUUUCCAACUGUGAAUAUUACAUUAUCAAAGGGGAAAAAAAGUUAAGUUUGGACAUGAUGAGGGGUCCAUAAUGUAUUGAAUAAAGGCACCCUGCGUUAUUCAUGAAAAUGUCAUUCCUGUGUGAACUUACGUCGAGUCGCCACAAAACGGUCUGCACUAGGAGACAGGAUAGAGUUGGCAAGAAGGAAAAUGGAAAAAAAGAGACAAGAGAUUUUUAGUUUAGUUGUACAAAACCAGCACAUCUCACUGCAUUGUCGUUUCAAUUGUAAUCAGCCUGCAAAAUUAUUUCUAUUUGGUUCUGCUUUAGUUUAAAUAAAGUGUUUUUUUAAAUGGUUUGUGUUACAAUGAGAAUGUGCUGCAGUUUGUCAAAUAAGGACAUAGUGUCAGGUUUUUACAUGAUGUGUUGUAAAAAGUGUCAGCGUUACUUUAUUUGUGAACUUACAGCUGAAUCGGCAACAGUGAACAGGGCCCGCAGCAAAGAUAGCGUUGAGGAGUUCAGAGGAGGGAAAAGACAGAGGGACAAAAAAAAUAAAAUUUAGUUGCUCUCUUAGCCUGUAAAAAUGUUUGUUAAAAUGGAGAGAAUUGCACAAACACAAUGAAGGACCUCUUUACUUUUUAAUUUCUUAUGUUAUUGAGGUGAAAUACGCAACACUGAAAUGUCAUUAUAAACUGCAGAGAAAAAUGUAACAUUUAAUUGAUUGCUUCAUAAGUAUAUACAAGUGUGAACUUACACUUCAGAGUUGGUAGGGAAUUUCACACAGGUCAGAGGACAAGAUGAGGCAAGAGGAGGGGGAGAGGGAAGAAAAGAGAUUUUUAUUACACUCAAAAGAGACGCCCUCACAGCUCACUUCAUUCAAAGAAAUGAUUAUUAUCAAAGUAAUAGUAAUUAUCUGAAUGAUUUUCCCACUUAAUUAUUGUCAAAAUUAAGAUUCAGACUUUCCCAUCAAGUUAAAAUGUUUAAAAUAAAUGAAUUUAGUAGUAUAGUAACAUUGUUAGCUCACUGUUGUCUACUAGGAAAAAACUGUGUCCCAUCUAUGAUUUUCAUAUAGGAUAUACAACAGUGUUGCAGAUAAAUCAACAUUUCAUAUCAAUUUAAACUCAGUAUUUGAAAAAUGCAUCAUAUGUUGUACAUUAUCUUGAAUGACAUGUUGUUUAACAGGAUUAAGCUAAUCAUUAAUCCAGUUAUUCUUAUUUUGUUUGUUGUCAGUCUUGGUCAAAACACUUAUACUUACCAACAAAUGCACUGGAGCGGAUGUAUCUUCUGUUUGAGACAAGAAACACUACAUUAGUGUUGUCUGACAAAUAGUACAUUAAAAACAAUAGGCCUAUAAAGAAAACUAACAUUAUUACAGUAGUUGGGCUAAUUGAAAACUAAACAGCUCCAACAGAUCACCUGGCUGUUAGCUGCAGCUGAAAAUGUCACACAUAAAACAUACUGUAUUAAAGUAUAUAUACCUCAGAUAAAGUAUCUUUGCUGUGGUGUUAGCACAUCACCAAUAUCCAAAUUAACAGCUUGUUAUCAAAGGUAAAUUAGGUACAGUAGAAGGUGAAGUUCAGUAGCAGCCAGCAAGACAGAGACAGACCAAGAGCAGGUUCACCAACUUCAAGGCAGCUAACUCUCCAUCCAUCAACUCAAUAUUAAGAUAAGAACUUUAUUGAUCCCUAAGGGGAAAUUCAACUGGAAUAUAUUUAUUAAUUGGAACUUGGUAUUGUUAAACAUUAAAUACUGAAUUAAUUUUAUGUUUUGCAAUGUAAAUAUCUCUAUCAUCCCCAUCAUGAAUAAAACCUGGUUUGUGCUAUACCUGGAUGUUUGCUAAAUGCAGCCUAUAGUUUAAUACAUCUACAAUGGCUGAUAAAAAGUGACCAGGAGCUAAACAGCUGACGUCUCCAGACCAGUUCCCCAGCAAUGACUCAGUCAUAGUAAUGAACUGAACCUGUAGCAAUGGCGCUAGCAUCAUUAGUUAGCUAGUUAGUCAGUUAAUACUUGACAAUAUGAGUAUUCUUCUCAGUCCCAUUGUCAGUAAACUCCACAGCCUGGACAUCAUUUGGCAUGCUUUAUAGUACCGCAGCGGCUUACAUAUUCACUUUAUUUUGUGCUCAGCUGGCUAAUGAUUCAGCCUCACAGCUAAAGGUAUGUUAGCUUUAACGUGAGCUCGACGCUAGCGGCGCUAACUCGGCGCUAGCGGCGCUUACUCGGCGCUAAGUCGGCGCUAGCUCGACGCUAACUCGGCGCUAGCUCGACGCUAGCGGCGCUAACUCGACGCUAACAGCGUUAGCGUAUGCUUUUUCAACUCAUUAUCUCGACCACUUCAAUCAUGAAUAAACUCUUCAUUGAUUAUAACACAAACCAGUGGCUUUUAAAACGUUACAUCGCCGUUUGGAGUGUUCAGAAGUUAGAGAGACUGUGCUCUGACUCACCUUCGUCGAGGUCGGAGAAGGAGAGCGCGAGCCACCAGUGGGUCGCGGUAUUAAUGUUUGAGGCGUUCAGGGACACUCGGAAAUGUCAGACUUCGCACGACGGAAAGGCAGUGGUUCAAUCAAUUCACUUUAAUUGUUUUCUAGUACUAAUAGUAGCAAGACUAGUUGAAGUAGAAGUGAUGUAAGUAGUAGUUGUAGAAGUGGAAGUGGGAUUUUGUUUGAAGAAUUGAAAUAUGCAUGAAUAGUAAAAAUGAUUUAAAUUGGGGAAAAUAUAACUAAUAAAAAAUCCUAAAGUAUUAGAAAGGUUUGAAGAAUCAGAGAGGUUUGAAUAAGAGUGAGUUUAAAUUUGUUAGAAGAAUUGAAUAAUGCGUAAAUAAUGAGAAUGAUUUUAAAUUAAGGACAAUUUAAAUGAAUAGAAAUCCUCUGUAGACUCCAUAAUGUCCUCAAUGAGCAGAAUUCUUGAAGCCUUAAAUGUGUCUGUAUCUCAAAGUUUGUGAGAGAAGAUAGGUGAUGAAGCAGAAUGAGAGAACCACAAGACUCUGUUGAACACAUUAACACAAUUUAUUAUCACAAUCCUGAAAAACACCCCAUAAUAUCUUCAAUGAGCUGAAUUUUUCAAGCCCAGAAUGGUUUCUGUAGCUCAAAGUUUGUGGGUGGAGAUAGGUGGUGAAGCAGACACAUAUUAACUGUGUGUACAAGAAGCUGAGCUGCAAGGUAGACCUGACAAAGCAACAAGUACAAGAAUGUGUGUGUGUGUGUGUGUGUGUGUGUGUGUGUGUCUCGUUAAUGAUUGCAUCCUAAACAGCUGUGACAUCAAAGCCAUGACCUAUUGACCUAUUGUUUGAAUGGAGAAGCUGCUGAACUGCAGUGAAUUUAGGGUUCUGAACUUCUUCACAUAGCACGAUUUCCUUAAGUCCCAGAAUGAAAAUAAGAACAUCGUACGAAUCCUCCAUCCUUCAUGAACACAAUGAUCUGUUUUUCAUGUCUGUACUCCGAAAAAUGUGGCCACAACAGCGAGUUAAAAAAGUCUGAGCCUGAGUGACGAUAAGGAUUUUCUUGGAGAAGAAAUACAUUAGGGCCAAUGGGGAGAUAUUUGCGCCUAUCUGGACAGUUGGUCACCUGCUGGCCAAGGGGUACGAUUUAAUGAUUUGAAACCUCUUUUGUGAGAAGCAGGACACAUAUACCUCCAUUUUGAUGUAUUAUUUGUGUCAGUGGAGUGAGAUUUGUGGGCGUGGGAGCGAUAUAUUCGAGCGAGGUUCUGUCGAUCAGAGACGAGGUCUGCACUCUAGCUGAUGACAUCAUCACUCUAAACUCUCCAAUACACACCCAUUAUAAAGCUUGAAAUUUGCUGAAAACCACAAGUUGCAUAAAGCUAAAUUGUGGAAAAACUGUAAAAGAUAUCAAAAAACUGAAUACAACUAUAAUAGUCGACAAGUGAAUGAACAUUUUAAAGCAAAAAUGAGGUCUCUAGGUGAAAGUAUGCUGAAGUUAUAAGGUCUAGAAGGUGGAAGAAUGAAAGGAAGAAGUUGAAGAUUUCCCCAUUGACUUCAAUGUUAAAAUUUUUGCACAAAAAGUUAAAAAAAUCAAAAAGUAUAAAGGGUAGAAAGAAAAAAAAUAGACGCCAUAAUGUCCUGAAGGAGUGGAAUAGUUUAAAGUUUGAAUGGUUGAAAUCGGACAAAGUUUGAAGGAGGAGAAGCGGUCCAAAAAAGGGACGGAAGAAUAAUAAUAAUAACUAGAAAAAUUGCAUUUCCUUGCAGAAAAUGCGUGGAAAUGCUGAGUGCUGAAAGCUGAAAAAGCAAUGCUAAACUGCUAAUAAAACAUGGAGAAAGGUAUAAAUGUUAAAGCUGUUGAAGGGGUGAAAAAGAAAUAUAAGUUGGAUAAUAGUUUAAUUGGUUGAAGGACAAAUAGUAUGAAUAUGCUCUAUAAAAGGAAAUUUUAUUCAUGCUGAAAGAGGCUAGAAAAAUGUCUAAAAUUGCACAAAGUUUGAAUGAAGAAGGAAACUGCCUUUAAAGGCAGGAAGGUGAGAAGUGGCAUAAGUUUAAGUUGUAGUACUAGAAGAAGUAUGAUAAGAAGUCAAGUCGUGAUACUAGUAGUCAUGUCAGCAGUAGAAGUAGAUUGAGAAUAAAAGAAGUAUAAGUCAAAGUAGUAAAGAAAGUAGAAAUAGUAGCAAUAGCAGCAGUAGAGAAAGUAGAAAUAGGAGCAAUAGCAGUUGAAGUAGAGGGGAAAGUUCUAGUUUAAUUGACAUAAGUAGUUGUAGUACUAGAGGUAGGAUUUUGUUUGAAGGACAGAAUAAUGCAUAAAUAUUAAAACUAAUAUAAAACAGGGAAAAUUUUAUUAAUUAAAAAUCCUCAAGUAUCAGACAGUUUUUAAGUAUUAGAAAGGUUUGAAUCAUUUUGAAUGAGUUUAAAUUAGUUUGAAAAAUUAAAUGAUAAAUCUUCACUGAGUGACUUUAAAAUGUGAAACAUUUAAAUGAAUAUAAAUCCUAAAUACACCCCAUAAUGUCCUCAAUGAGCUUAAAUUUUAAAGCCCUGAAUGGUUUCUGUAGGUCAAAGGUCAUGUGAGGAGAUAGGGGCUGAAGGUUUUUCAAGCGCUCUAGGAAAGGGUUUUAAGUGUCAUCCCCAGUGCUAUGUGUACUGAGCCUGGCUUCAUGUGUCUCAUAUGGCCAUUAGAAGCAGCUUUCCAGUCAGCUGUGUGUCUCCAGGUGCACAAAUUGGUUGCCAUGGGGACCUUGGAUGAAUAACUAUAGCAGGAGAAAGAAGGCUUGAAGCUAAGGAAACAGGACUCCAAGUAGGCCCUGACGCUCAUCCUCUGUAUAAAUUCAUAAGGAGCUUGUGAGAACACAAGAUUUUGCUGAACACAUUAAUACAAUUUAUUAUCACAAUCCUCAAAACACCCCAUAAUAUCUUCAAUGAGCUGAAUUUUUCAAGCCCAGAAUGGUUUCUGUAGCUCAAAGUUUGUGGGUGGAGAUAGGUGGUGAAGCAGACACAUAUUAUCUGUGUGUACAAGCAGGUGAACUGCAAGGUAGACCUGACAGCAACAAGUACAAGAAUGUGUGUGUGUGUGUGUGUGUCUCAUUAAUGACUGCAUCCCUAACAGCUGUGAGAUCAAAGGCAAAUCACUGACCUACUGUUUGAAUGACAAGCAGCUGAACAGCAGAGGAUUAGAAGCCUGUGAACUUCUUCACAUAGCGUGAUUUCCUUAAGUCCCAGAAUGAAAAUAAGAACAUCGUACGAAUCCUCCGUCCUUCAUGAACACAAUGAUGUGUUUUUCAUUUCUGUACUCCGAAAAAUGUGGCCACAACAGCGAGUUAAAAAUGUCUGAGCCUGAGUGACGAUAAGGAUUUUCUUGGAGAAGAAAUACAUUAGGGCCAAUGGGGAGAUAUUUGCGCCUAUCUGGACAGUUGGUCACCUGCUGGCCAAGGGGUACGAUUUAAUGAUUUGAAACCUCUUUUGUGAGAAGCAGGACACAUAUACCUCCAUUUUGAUGUAUUAUUUGUGUCAGUGGAGUGAGAUUUGUGGGCGUGGGAGCGAUAUAUUCGAGCGAGGUUCUGUCGAUCAGAGACGAGGUCUGCACUCUAGCUGAUGACAUCAUCACUCUAAACUCUCCAAUACACACCCAUUAUAAAGCUUGAAAUUUGCUGAAAACCACAAGUUGCUUAAAGCUAAAUUGUGGAAAAACUGUAAAAGAUAUCAAAAAACUGAGUACAACUAUAAUAGUCGACAAGUGAAUGAACAUUUUAAAGCAAAAAUGAGGUCUCUAGGUGAAAG